AUGAAUAAUCGAUUUAGUGAAACUUCUACACGCUUGUUGAAGUGCAUUGCUUGCCUUGAUCCUAGAGACUCAUUUAGUAACUUUGAUCAUGAUAAGCUAGUUGAGCUUGCAAAUAUUUACUCAAUUGAUUUCUCUUCACAAGAGCGCUAUCUGUUGACUGAUCAACUCAACAUAUAUAUUGUGAUGAAAAGAAGUAGUGAAUUCUUGGCUUGCGAUAGUUUGAGUUCUCUUGCUCUCAAGUUGGUUCAGAGUAGACAACAUCUGGUAUUUCCAUUGGUUUAUCGGCUCAUCAGACUUGCAUUGACAUUACCGGUGGCAACUGCAUCAGUUGAGAGGGUUUUCUCAGCCAUGAAUAUUAUAAAGACUGAUCUUCGAAACAAGAUGGGUGAUGAUUGGCUUAAUGAUUUGAUGGUUUGCUUUGUUGAGCGCGAGAUAUUCGCUAAAAUUAGUGAUAAAGAGAUUAUGGUUCAUUUUCAUGCCUUGAAGAACCGUCGAGGUCAUCUACCUCCAGAACCUCGUGUUCAUUAUGCAAUUACGUCUUAA
rnacentral:rRNA from 1 species